AAGUCGAACGCAGUAGCAAUACUGAGUGGCAAACGGGUGAGUAUAAUGUGGGUAUCUGCCUUUUGGUCUGGAAUAACACGGGGAAACUUGUGCUAAUACCGGAUAAGCCCUUACGGGGAAAGUUUUAACGCCGAAAGAUGAGCCUGCACUUGAUUAGCUAGUUGGUAAGGUAAAAGCUUACCAAGGCAACGAUCAAUAGCUGUUCUUAGAGGAAGACCAGCCACAUUGGGACUGAGACACGGCCCAGACUCCUACGGGAGGCAGCAGUGGGGAAUCUUGCACAAUGGGGGAAACCCUGAUGCAGCGAUGCCGCGUGAGUGAAGAAGGCCCUUGGGUUGUAAAACUCUUUCGUCGGGGAAGAAAAUGACUGUACCCGAAUAAGAAGGUCCGGCUAACUUCGUGCCAGCAGCCGCGGUAAUACGAAGGGACCUAGCGUAGUUCGGAAUUACUGGGCUUAAAGAGCUCGUAGGUGGUUAAAAAAGUUGAUGGUGAAAUCCCAAGGCUCAACCUUGGAACUGCCAUCAAAACUUUUUAGCUAGAGUGUGAUAGAGGUAAGUGGAAUUUCUAGUGUAGAGGUGAAAUUCGUAGAUAUUAGAAAGAACACCAAAUGCGAAGGCAACUUACUGGGUCACUACUGACACUGAGGAGCGAAAGCAUGGGUAGCGAAGAGAAUUAGAUACCCUCGUAGUCCAUGCCGUAAACGAUGUGUGCUAGACGUUGGAAAUAUAUUUUCAGUGUCGCAGCGAAAGCAUUAAGCACACCGCCUGGGGAGUACGACCGC
rnacentral:rRNA from 1 species